rnacentral:rRNA from 1 species
UACGGAGGAUCCGAGCGUUAUCCGGAUUUAUUGGGUUUAAAGGGAGCGUAGGUGGAUUGUUAAGUCAGUUGUGAAAGUUUGCGGCUCAACCGUAAAAUUGCAGUUGAAACUGGAGGCCUUGAGUGCACACAGGGAUGCCGGAAUUCAUGGUGUAGCGGUGAAAUGCAUAGAUAUCACGCAGAACUCCGAUUGCGAAGGCAGCAUACCGGCGCCCAACUGACGCUCAGGCACGAAAGCGUGGGUAUCGAACAGG